rnacentral:piRNA from 1 species
UGGGAAAUGAGGCCAGUUACCAUUC